UACGUAGGGCGCGAGCGUUGUCCGGAAUUAUUGGGCGUAAAGAGCUCGUAGGCGGCCUGUCGCGUCAAUUGUGAAAGCCCGGGGCUUAACCCCGGGUCUGCAGUCGAUACGGGCAGGCUAGAGUGUGGUAGGGGAGAUCGGAAUUCCUGGUGUAGCGGUGAAAUGCGCAGAUAUCAGGAAGAACACCCGUGGCGAAAGCGGCUCUCUGGAACGGUACUGACGCUGAGACGCGAAAGCGUGGGGAGCAAACAGG
rnacentral:rRNA from 1 species